rnacentral:rRNA from 1 species
AGAGUUUGAUCCUGGCUCAGAACGAACGUUGGCGGCGUGGAUUAGGCAUGCAAGUCGAACGAAUCCCAGGGGGGUAACUCCCUGGGGGAAGUGGCGAAAGGGGCAGUAAGGCGUGGGUAACCUACCCCGGGGACCGGGAUAGCCAUCCUAACGGAUGGGUAAUACCGGGCGAUGUGACGAGAAGGCAUCUUUUUGUCACGAAAUGAAUCUCGCCUCGGGAGGGGCUCACGUAGUAUUAGCUUGUUGGUGGGGUAACGGCCCACCAAGGCCAAGAUGCUUAGCGGGUGUGAGAGCACGACCCGCGCCACUGGCACUGGGACACUGGCCAGACUCCUACGGGAGGCUGCAGUCGAGGAUCUUCGGCAAUGGGCGCAAGCCUGACCGAGCGACGCCGCGUGUGCGAUGAAGGCCUUCGGGUUGUAAAGCACUGUCGAGGGGGAGGAACGCCCCGCAAGGGGCCUGACCUAUCCCUGGAGGAAGCACGGGCUAAGUUCGUGCCAGCAGCCGCGGUAAUAC